UGCUUGGAGCCCUACACUAGCACUUUGAAGUGCUGAGACUUGCUGUGCUCAGGGAGCGUGAUUUUUCACACUCCUGAGCCAGCGAUGGCUUCAGCCACCAG